rnacentral:rRNA from 1 species
AGGAUUAACGCUGGCGGCGUGCAUGAAACAUGCAAGUCGAGCGCGGUGUGAUGCGGGGUAACCCAAUUCACAUCUGGCGGCGAACGGGUGAGUAACACGUGAGCAACCUACCUUUGAGUUGGGGAUAGCCCUGGGAAACCAGGAUUAAUACCCGAUGUGGUCACAACAGGACAUCCUGAUGUGAGUAAAGGCGCAAGCCGCUCAAUGACGGGCUCGCGGCCUAUUAGCUUGUUGGUGGGGUAACGGCCUACCAAGGCGAUGAUGGGUAGCUGGUCUGAGAGGACGGCCAGCCACACUGGGACUGAGACACGGCCCAGACUCCUACGGGAGGCAGCAGUUAGGGAAUUUUGACAAUGGGCGCAAGCCUGAUCGAGUGACGCCGCGUGUGGGACGACGCCUUUCGGGGUGUAAACCACUUUUCUUGGGGACGAGAACGGACGGUACCCGAGGAAUAAGCCUCGGCUAACUACGUGCCAGCAGCCGC